GAUGAACGCUGGCGGCGUGCCUAAUACAUGCAAGUCGAGCGAACAGACGAGGAGCUUGCUCCUCUGACGUUAGCGGCGGACGGGUGAGUAACACGUGGAUAACCUACCUAUAAGACUAGGAUAACUUCGGGAAACCGGAGCUAAUACCGGAUAAUAUAUUGAACCGCAUGGUUCAAUAGUGAAAGACGGUUUUGCUGUCACUUAUAGAUGGAUCCGCGCCGCAUUAGCUAGUUGGUAAGGUAACGGCUUACCAAGGCAACGAUGCGUAGCCGACCUGAGAGGGUGAUCGGCCACACUGGAACUGAGACACGGUCCAGACUCCUACGGGAGGCAGCAGUAGGGAAUCUUCCGCAAAGGGCGAAAGCCUGACGGAGCAACGCCGCGUGAGUGAUGAAGGUCUUCGGAUCGUAAAACUCUGUUAUUAGGGAAGAACAAAUGUGUAAGUAACUAUGCACGUCUUGACGGUACCUAAUCAGAAAGCCACGGCUAACUACGUG
rnacentral:rRNA from 1 species